rnacentral:rRNA from 1 species
UACAGAGGUCUCAAGCGUUGUUCGGAUUCAUUGGGCGUAAAGGGUGUGUAGGUGGCGCCGUAAGUCGGGUGUGAAAUUUCGGAGCUUAACUCCGAAAUGGCAUUGGAAACUGCCUGGCUCGAGGGUUGGAGGGGGGACUGGAAUACUUGGUGUAGCAGUGAAAUGCGUAGAUAUCAAGUGGAACACCAGUGGCGAAGGCGAGUCCCUAGACAACUCCUGACACUGAGGCACGAAAGCUAGGGGAGCAAACAGG